rnacentral:tRNA from 1 species
AAGGCUUUGGCUUAAUUAAAGCAUUUGUUUUGCAUGCAAAAGAUGUAGGGUAAUAUCCUGCAAGUCUUA